UUCGCAAUGCCCGAAAGGGUGACGAAGCGACGCCGCGUGGGUGAGGAAGGCCCUCGGGUUGUAAAGCCCUGUCAGGAGUUAAGAAAUGUAGAUACGCUAAUAUCGUAUCUAUUUGACAAAGGCUCCAAAGGAAGCCACGGCUAACUCUGUGCCAGCAGCCGCGGUAAUACAGAGGUGGCAAGCGUCGUUCGGAAUUAUUGGGCGUAAAGAGCACGUAGGUGGAUUUGUAAGUCAGAUGUGAAAGCCUUCUGUUCAACGGAAGAAUUGCAUCUGAAACUACAAACCUUGAGUAUAGGAGGGGAGAAUGGAACUUCUGGUGGAGCGGUGAAAUGCGUAGAUAUCAGAAGGAACGCCGGCGACGAAAGCGAUUCUCUGGCCUAUUACUGACACUCAGUGUGCGAAAGCUAGGGGAGCAAACGGGAUUAGAUACCCCGGUAGUCCUAGCCGUAAACGAUGGGCACUAAGUAGAGGGGUUUUA
rnacentral:rRNA from 1 species